rnacentral:rRNA from 1 species
UACGAAGGGGGGCUAGCGUUGCUCGGAAUUACUGGGCGUAAAGGGCGCGUAGGCGGAUAUUUAAGUUGGGGGGUGAAAUCCCGGGGCUCAACCUCGAAAUUGCCUUCAAAACUGGAUAUCUUGAGUUCGGGAGAGGUGAGUGGAACUCCGAGUGUAGAGGUGAAAUUCGUAGAUAUUAGGAAGAACACCAGUGGCGAAGGCGGCUCACUGGUCCGGUACUGACGCUGAGGUGCGAAAGCGUGGGGAGCAAACAGG